GAAUUACUGGGCGUAAAGCGCACGCAGGCGGUUUGUUAAGUCAGAUGUGUAAUCCCCGGGCUCAACCUGGGAACUGCAUCUGAUACUGGCAAGCUUGAGUCUCGUAGAGGGGGGUAGAAUUCCAGGUGUAGCGGUGAAAUGCGUAGAGAUCUGGAGGAAUACCGGUGGCGAAGGCGGCCCCCUGGACGAAGACUGACGCUCAGGUGCGAAAGCGUGGGGAGCAAACAGGUUUAGAUACCCUGGUAGUCCACGCCGUAAACGAUGUCGACUUGGAGGUUGUGCCCUUGAGGCGUGGCUUCCGGAGCUAACGCGUUAAGUCGACCGCCUGGGGAGUACGGCCGCAAGGUUAAAACUCAAAUGAAUUGACGGGGGCCCGCACAAGCGGUGGAGCAUGUGGUUUAAUUCGAUGCAACGCGAAGAACCUUACCUGGUCUUGACAUCCACGGAAGUUUUCAGAGAUGAGAAUGUGCCUUCGGGAACCGUGAGACAGGUGCUGCAUGGCUGUCGUCAGCUCGUGUUGUGAAAUGUUGGGUUAAGUCCCGCAACGAGCGCAACCCUUAUCCUUUGUUGCCAGCGGUCCGGCCGGGAACUCAAAGGAGACUGCCAGUGAUAAACUGGAGGAAGGUGGGGAUGACGUCAAGUCAUCAUGGCCCUUACGACCAGGGCUACACACGUGCUACAAUGGCGCAUACAAAGAGAAGCGACCUCGCGAGAGCAAGCGGACCUCAUAAAGUGCGUCGUAGUCCGGAUUGGAGUCUGCAACUCGACUCCAUGAAGUCG
rnacentral:rRNA from 1 species